AACCAGUGAUGAAAAUGAUUCUGCCAUAUGAGCCAGGAUGAUAUCACUACUAACCGUUCCACUUUUUUCUGAGGCU